rnacentral:rRNA from 1 species
UGUCCAGACUCCUACGGGAGGCAGCAGUGAGGAAUAUUGGUCAAUGGGCGGAAGCCUGAACCAGCCAAGUCGCGUGAGGGAAUAAGGCCCUACGGGUCGUAAACCUCUUUUGCCGGGGAGCAAGGGCGGGGACGUGUCCCGGCCCGGAGAGUACCCGGAGAAAAAGCAUCGGCUAACUCCGUGCCAGCAGCCGCGGUAAUACGGAGGAUGCGAGCGUUAUCCGGAUUUAUUGGGUUUAAAGGGUGCGCAGGCGGGCUGUUAAGCCGGCGGUAAAAAUUCAGGGCUCAACCCUGUCGAGCCGUCGGAACUGGCAGUCUUGAGUGGGCGAGAAGUAUGCGGAAUGCGUGGUGUAGCGGUGAGAUGCAUAGAUAUCACGCAGAACUCCGAUUGCGAAGGCAGCAUACCGGCGCCCAACUGACGCUGAAGCACGAAAGCGUGGGUAUCGAACAGGAUUAGAUACCCUUGUAU